rnacentral:rRNA from 1 species
AUGAAGCUGGAGGUGUCGCCGAGGCAGAGGACCCAAGAAGCAGAGCAGAACGAGGGCCUUGAGGCAUGGAAGCACCCGAAGCAGCUCUGCGCUAGUCUGGACUACGGGGAGGAGGAGGAGGAGGAGGUGACACGGAUGGUGCCGCCGCUCAACUUCGGCAUGGUGGACGACGGCGUCUUCCGGUCGGGGUUCCCCGACGCGGCCAACUUCCGGUUCCUCGCGUCCCUCAACCUGCGCUCCGUCGUGUACCUGUGCCCGGAGCCGUACCCGGAGCAGAACGCGCGGUUCCUGGGGCGCAGCGAGAUCAAGCUCCACCACUUCGGAAUCCAGGGCCGCAAGGAACCGUUUGUCGGCAUCCCCGAAGAAAUGAUCCGCGAGGCGCUCAAAGUCAUCCUUGACGUAAGAAACCACCCGGUGCUCAUCCACUGCAAGAGAGGCAAGCACCGUACCGGCUGCGUGGUGGGCUGCCUGAGGAAGCUGCAGAAGUGGCGCCUGUCCUCCGUCUUCGACGAGUAUCUGCACUUCGCGGCGGCCAAGGCGAGGAAAACCGACCAGAGGUUCAUGGAGCUCUUUGACACGUCAAGCUUGGUGCAUCUCUUGGCCUCACAGUGUUGA